GGAGGACCUUCAUAAUAGAAUAAUCCAACUGGAAAAACAGCUGGAUGCCAAGCAAGCACUAGAGUUGGAAAUUGAGCGUCUACGUGGGACGUUGAAUGUCAUGAAGCACAUGGAAGAUGAUGAGGAUGUGGAAGUCCUCCAGAAGGCAGAGUCAACACUAAAAGAGUUGAGUGAAAAGGAAGGAGAACUUGAAGCGCUCGAUGAGCUUAACCAAGCAUUGAUAGUAAAGCAGCGCAUGAGUAAU
rnacentral:misc_RNA from 1 species